ACGCUCGACACCUACGGGGGCAGCAGUGGGGAAUAUUGGGCAAUGGGCGCAAGCCUGACCCAGCAACGCCGCGUGAAGGAAGAAGGCUUUCGGGUUGUAAACUUCUUUUGUCAGGGAAGAGCAGAAGACGGUACCUGACGAAUAAGCCACGGCUAACUACGUGCUAGCAGCCGCGGUAAUCUGAGCGGGCUGGCAAGGC
rnacentral:rRNA from 1 species